rfam:Heligmosomoides polygyrus genome assembly, scaffold: HPBE_scaffold0008350
GCGCCGGUGGUGCAAUGGCGUAGAGCAUUCCCGCCCGGUUAGAGGGAGGUGCGGGUUCGAGUCCCGCCUGGCGCU